rnacentral:lncRNA from 10 species
UUGUAGAAAGUUUGAAAUUAUGAAGCAUAAUCCCUCCAAAUUUGUUUUUCUUUUUCAAGUUUGCUUUAGCUAUUUUGAGUCCCUUGCAUUUUCAUAUGAAUUUUAGUGUCAGCUUGUCAAUUUUGGGGGCUUUAAAAAGAGUAAGUUGGAGUUUUGACAGGGAUUGCAGCAAACCUAUAGAUUGAGUAGUAUUGCCAUUUUAUUUUAUUUUAGUAGGAUUGCCAUUUUAACAAUAUUAUGUCUUCCAAUUCUUGAGCAUGGGAUGGCUUUCUAUUUAUAGACACACCUUGGAGAUGUUGUAGGUUUGGUUCCAGACGGUUCCAUGCAAAUUUUUUGGUUUCUGAGUGCAUAUAAAAGUUAUGUUUAUAUUACACUGUAGCCAAUUAAGUGUGUAAUACCAUUUUGUCUUAAAAA